rnacentral:rRNA from 1 species
ACAAUGGGCGGAAGCCUGAUCCAGCAACGCCGCGUGAGGGAUGACGGCCUUCGGGUUGUAAACCUCUUUCAGUACCGACGAAGCGCAAGUGACGGUAGGUACAGAAGAAGCACCGGCCAACUAC